GGGGAAGUGUCGGAAUUGGUAGACGAGCACGGCUUAGGACCGUGUGCCGCAAGGCGUGGGGGUUCGAGUCCCCCCUUCCCCACCA
rnacentral:tRNA from 1 species